rnacentral:tRNA from 1 species
AGUAUUAUAGCUCAGUGGUAAAGUACAUGCCUAGAACGCAUGAGGCCCUGCAGAGGUUCAAUCCCCAGUACCUCUG